rnacentral:rRNA from 1 species
UGGGAUAAGCCUGGGAAAACUGGGUCUAAUACCGGAUAUGACUCCUCAUCGCAUGGUGGGGGGUGGAAAGCUUUUUGUGGUUUUGGAUGGACUCGCGGCCUAUCAGCUUGUUGGUGAGGUAAUGGCUCACCAAGGCGACGACGGGUAGCCGGCCUGAGAGGGUGACCGGCCACACUGGGACUGAGACACGGCCCAGACUCCUACGGGAGGCAGCAGUGGGGAAUAUUGCACAAUGGGCGAAAGCCUGAUGCAGCGACGCCGCGUGAGGGAUGACGGCCUUCGGGUUGUAAACCUCUUUCAGUAGGGAAGAAGCGAAAGUGACGGUACCUGCAGAAGAAGCGCCGGCUAACUACGUGCCAGCAGCCGCGGUAAUACGUAGGGCGCAAGCGUUAUCCGGAAUUAUUGGGCGUAAAGAGCUCGUAGGCGGUUUGUCGCGUCUGCCGUGAAAGUCCGGGGCUCAACUCCGGAUCUGCGGUGGGUACGGGCAGACUAGAGUGAUGUAGGGGAGACUGGAAUUCCUGGUGUAGCGGUGAAAUGCGCAGAUAUCAGGAGGAACACCGAUGGCGAAGGCAGGUCUCUGGGCAUUAACUGACGCUGAGGAGCGAAAGCAUGGGGAGCGAACAGGAUUAGAUACCCUGGUAGUCCAUGCCGUAAACGUUGGGCACUAGGUGUGGGGGACAUUCCACGUUUUCCGCGCCGUAGCUAACGCAUUAAGUGCCCCGCCUGGGGAGUACGGCUGCAAGGCUAAAACUCAAAGGAAUUGACGG